rnacentral:rRNA from 1 species
AUUGAACGCUGGCGGCAUGCUUUACACAUGCAAGUCGAACGGCAGCACGGGCUUCGGCCUGGUGGCGAGUGGCGAACGGGUGAGUAAUAUAUCGGAACGUACCCAGAAGUGGGGGAUAACGUAGCGAAAGUUACGCUAAUACCGCAUACGAUCUAUGGAUGAAAGCAGGGGACCGCAAGGCCUUGUGCUCCUGGAGCGGCCGAUAUCUGAUUAGCUAGUUGGUGAGGUAAAGGCUCACCAAGGCGACGAUCAGUAGCUGGCCUGAGAGGACGACCAGCCACACUGGAACUGAGACACGGUCCAGACUCCUACGGGAGGCAGCAGUGGGGAAUUUUGGACAAUGGGCGCAAGCCUGAUCCAGCAAUGCCGCGUGAGUGAAGAAGGCCUUCGGGUUGUAAAGCUCUUUUGUCAGGGAAGAAACGGUAGAGGCUAAUAUCCUUUGCUAAUGACGGUACCUGAAGAAUAAGCACCGGCUAACUACGUG